rnacentral:rRNA from 1 species
GUUAGUGGAAGCGUCUGGAAAGGCGCGCGAUACAGGGUGACAGCCCCGUACACAAAAGCGCAUGUGCUGUGAGCUCGAUGAGUAGGGCGGGACACGUGGUAUCCUGUCUGAAUAUGGGGGGACCAUCCUCCAAGGCUAAAUACUCCUGACUGACCGAUAGUGAACCAGUACCGUGAGGGAAAGGCGAAAAGAACCCCGGCGAGGGGAGUGAAAAAGAACCUGAAACCGUGUACGUACAAGCAGUGGGAGCACAGGUUUACCUGUGUGACUGCGUACCUUUUGUAUAAUGGGUCAGCGACUUAUAUUCUGUAGCAAGGUUAACCGCAUAGGGGAGCCGGAGGGAAACCGAGUCUUAAUUGGGCGUUAAGUUGCAGGGUAUAGACCCGAAACCCGGUGAUCUAGCCAUGGGCAGGUUGAAGGUUGGGUAACACUAACUGGAGGACCGAACCGACUAAUGUUGAAAAAUUAGCGGAUGACCUGUGGCUGGGGGUGAAAGGCCAAUCAAACCGGGAGAUAGCUGGUUCUCCCCGAAAGCUAUUUAGGUAGCGCCUCGUGAAUUCAUCUCCGGGGGUAGAGCACUGUUUCGGCUAGGGGGCCAUCCCGGCUUACCAACCCGAUGCAAACUGCGAAUACCGGAGAAUGUUAUCACGGGAGACACACGGCGGGUGCUAACGUCCGUCGUGAAGAGGGAAACAACCCAGACCGCCAGCUAAGGUCCCAAAGUCAUGGUUAAGUGGGAAACGAUGUGGGAAGGCCCAGACAGCCAGGAUGUUGGCUUAGAAGCAGCCAUCAUUUAAAGAAAGCGUAAUAGCUCACUGGUCGAGUCGGCCUGCGCGGAAGAUGUAACGGGGCUAAACCAUGCACCGAAGCUGCGGCAGCGACGCUUAUGCGUUGUUGGGUAGGGGAGCGUUCUGUAAGCCUGUGAAGGUGGCCUGUGAGGGUUGCUGGAGGUAUCAGAAGUGCGAAUGCUGACAUAAGUAACGAUAAAGCGGGUGAAAAGCCCGCUCGCCGGAAGACCAAGGGUUCCUGUCCAACGUUAAUCGGGGCAGGGUGAGUCGACCCCUAAGGCGAGGCCGAAAGGCGUAGUCGAUGGGAAACGGGUUAAUAUUCCCGUACUUGGUGUUACUGCGAAGGGGGGACGGAGAAGGCUAUGUUGGCCGGGCGACGGUUGUCCCGGUUUAAGCGUGUAGGUGUGUGUUCCAGGUAAAUCCGGUUCACUUUAACACUGAGGCGUGACGACGAGGCACUACGGUGCUGAAGCAACAAAUGCCCUGCUUCCAGGAAAAGCCUCUAAGCAUCAGGUAACAUCAAAUCGUACCCCAAACCGACACAGGUGGUCAGGUAGAGAAUACCAAGGCGCUUGAGAGAACUCGGGUGAAGGAACUAGGCAAAAUGGUGCCGUAACUUCGGGAGAAGGCACGCUGACACGUAGGUGAAGUGAUUUACUCAUGGAGCUGAAGUCAGUCGAAGAUACCAGCUGGCUGCAACUGUUUAUUAAAAACACAGCACUGUGCAAACACGAAAGUGGACGUAUACGGUGUGACGCCUGCCCGGUGCCGGAAGGUUAAUUGAUGGGGUCAGCGCAAGCGAAGCUCCUGAUCGAAGCCCCGGUAAACGGCGGCCGUAACUAUAACGGUCCUAAGGUAGCGAAAUUCCUUGUCGGGUAAGUUCCGACCUGCACGAAUGGCGUAAUGAUGGCCAGGCUGUCUCCACCCGAGACUCAGUGAAAUUGAACUCGCUGUGAAGAUGCAGUGUACCCGCGGCAAGACGGAAAGACCCCGUGAACCUUUACUAUAGCUUGACACUGAACAUUGAGCCUUGAUGUGUAGGAUAGGUGGGAGGCUUUGAAGCGUGGACGCCAGUCUGCGUGGAGCCGACCUUGAAAUACCACCCUUUAAUGUUUGAUGUUCUAACGUGGACCCGUAAUCCGGGUUGCGGACAGUGUCUGGUGGGUAGUUUGACUGGGGCGGUCUCCUCCUAAAGAGUAACGGAGGAGCACGAAGGUUGGUUAAUCCUGGUCGGACAUCAGGAGGUUAGUGCAAUGGCAUAAGCCAGCUUGACUGCGAGCGUGACGGCGCGAGCAGGUGCGAAAGCAGGUCAUAGUGAUCCGGUGGUUCUGAAUGGAAGGGCCAUCGCUCAACGGAUAAAAGGUACUCCGGGGAUAACAGGCUGAUACCGCCCAAGAGUUCAUAUCGACGGCGGUGUUUGGCACCUCGAUGUCGGCUCAUCACAUCCUGGGGCUGAAGUAGGUCCCAAGGGUAUGGCUGUUCGCCAUUUAAAGUGGUACGCGAGCUGGGUUUAGAACGUCGUGAGACAGUUCGGUCCCUAUCUGCCGUGGGCGCUGGAGAACUGAGGGGGGCUGCUCCUAGUACGAGAGGACCGGAGUGGACGCAUCACUGGUGUUCGGGUUGUCAUGCCAAUGGCACUGCCCGGUAGCUAAAUGCGGAAGAGAUAAGUGCUGAAAGCAUCUAAGCACGAAACUUGCCCCGAGAUGAGUUCUCCCUGAGACUUAGAGUCUCCUGAAGGAACGUUGAAGACGACGACGUUGAUAGGCCGGGUGUGUAAGCGCAGCGAUGCGUUGAGCUAACCGGUACUAAUGAACCGUGAGGCUUAACCUU